rnacentral:lncRNA from 1 species
GCGGCAGCAAUAAAAAGGGCUGCUCCCGUUAUAAGGAAGUCCCUGACAUACGGAGUACUAUAUCAAUAGGAAUAAUGAGAAAGUCCAUCAUAUGGUGACCUAGAAACUAGGAAUAGGACUAAUUUCAUUAGAUAGAGUUAUUAGCCCUGUCUCUAUUCUAAAGGGCUAAUAACUCUUUGUCAGUUGGAUCGCAUCAAGUAAUAAUCCAAUACCUG